AGUCAGCUGGCUCCCUGGCCUGUCACAUUCAGGCUGAUCUGCCUCCCAUCUCACCACAGGAACACCAGGUUUAGAGAGCUCAGCCAUCACAUCUGACUCUUCAUGUGUGUUCCAGGGAUUGAGCCCAGGUUCUCCGGUUACUGUGGCAAGUGCUUUUUACCUGCUGAGCCACCCCCACCCCGAACCCCUUUCCUAUGUUUUAAAUAUUUCCUCUCUCUUCCUCUCUUUUCUCCUUGUCUCAGAUUCUAGCCCCUGGGUUUUUUACAUUACAUCCUGUUCUUGUUUCAUGGAUAGACUGCUCUGUUUAAUCUCUGAGGACUACUGUCUUAACAUCUGUUUGCUUUAUGAAAUGUUUGCAUGAGGGUUAGACUUCUGGCAGUUUCGGUGAUUGAACUUGGGACCUCCUGUAUGGUAGGCCAGUAUCUCUGGUACUACUUCUGCUUUGAGCUUCUUCCUCUCCUCUUUUUUUCUUAGUUGUUGUUUUCUAUUUGUUUUGUUUGUUUGUUUUGUGCUAAGGUCUCACUCUGUAGCCCACACCGUCCUUGGACUCAAGAUGAUCUUUUCUCAGCCCCCAAGUACUGGGAUUACAGGAAGCAGACUCAGGUCGCCGGGCUUCCCGAACAUCCUGCCAUCCCUACAUCCGUCCUGAGACCUUUGUCAGUCUUGUUGCCAGACAAUGCUCGGCAAUCUAUUGUUAAAAUCUGGCGGA